AAUGCCUGGUGAAGCCACAGAAACCAUUCUUGCUACAGAGCAGGAGUUGCCACAGCCCCAGGUGGAGACCGGGUCUGGAACAGAAGCUGACAGUGAUAAAUCAGUACCAGAGCUCGAGGAACAGGAUUCCACAGAGAUACCACACAAGCAGCCCAGCUGGCAGCAGCAGCUGAAAUCAAUGAGUGUCAAUCAGUAAAGCAAAACAGAGUUAGAGUGAAAAGAAGGCACGUAAGGCUAUGUCCAAACUCGGUCUUCCGUAGAUAACAGGGGUUACUACAGUCACUACUGGAAAUCUAAGAAUAUCUUCUUUGUCAUCACAAAACCAGAUGUCUACAAGAAUCCUGCUUCGGAUACCUAUGUGUGUGUUUUUGGGGAAGCCAAGAUCAAGGAUUUAUCUUAACAAGCAUGGGUAGCACCUGCUAAGACACAGAGUGAGCUGUCUCAAACAUUCAAGAAAACACACAGACUCCAACUAUACAAGACGAGACUGGAGAGGAAAAGGUUGAUGAUACAGGUGUGGAAGUUAAGGACGUAGAAUUGGUCAUGUCACAAGCAAAUGUAUUGAGAGCAAAGGAAGUCCGAGCCUUGAAGAACAAGAGUAAUCAUAUUGUAACUGCUAUUACAGAAUUAACAAUG
rnacentral:lncRNA from 1 species